AUUGAACGCUGGCGGCAGGCCUAACACAUGCAAGUCGAGCGGCAGCGGGAAAGUAGCUUGCUACUUUUGCCGGCGAGCGGCGGACGGGUGAGUAAUGCCUGGGGAUCUGCCCAGUCGAGGGGGAUAACUACUGGAAACGGUAGCUAAUACCGCAUAACGUCUUCGGACCAAAGUGGGGGACCUUCGGGCCUCACGCCAUCGGAUGUGCCCAGAUGGGAUUAGCUAGUAGGUGGGGUAAUGGCUCACCUAGGCGACGAUCCCUAGCUGGUCUGAGAGGAUGACCAGCCACCCUGGAACUGGGACACGGUCCAGACUCCUACGGGAGGAAGCGUUAGGGAAUAUUGCACAAUGGGCGCAAGCCUGAUGCAGCCAUGCCGCGUGUGUGAAGAAGGCCUUCGGGUUGUAAAGCACUUACAGCGAGGAGGAAAGGUUGGUAGCUAAUAACUGCCAGCUGUGACGUUACUCGCAGAAGAAGCACCGGCUAACUCCGUGCCAGCAGCCGCCGUAAAAC
rnacentral:rRNA from 1 species